rnacentral:rRNA from 2 species
CCCUUAGGUCAGCGGCGGACGGGUGAGUAACACGUGGGUAACCUGCCUGUAAGACUGGGAUAACUCCGGGAAACCGGGGCUAAUACCGGAUGCUUGAUUGAACCGCAUGGUUCAAUCAUAAAAGGCGGCUUCGGCUGCCGUUUACAGAUGGACCCGCGGCGCAUUAGCUAGUUGGUGAGGUAAUGGCUCACCAAGGCGACGAUGCGUAGCCGACCUGAGAGGGUGAUCGGCCACACUGGGACUGAGACACGGCCCAGACUCCUACGGGAGGCAGCAGUAGGGAAUCUUCCGCAAUGGACGAAAGUCUGACGGAGCAACGCCGCGUGAGUGAUGAAGGUUUUCGGAUCGUAAAGCUCUGUUGUUAGGGAAGAACAAGUACCGUUCGAAUAGGGCGGUACCUUGACGGUACCUAACCAGAAAGCCACGGCUAACUACGUGCCAGCAGCCGCGGUAAUACGUAGGUGGCAAGCGUUGUCCGGAAUUAUUGGGCGUAAAGCGCGCGCAGGCGGUUUCUUAAGUCU